AGGACACUGGAGCUGAGGAUUUCAACUGAGUCAAAGAGAGCAAAUUGAACAAAGCAUCAGUGAGAAGGUGGAGGAUUGGGAAAGAAGAUAACAUGUUGACAAGAUCCACAGUGUCACACGCACCCCUGCUGCGGGAGCCAAAGAAACAAGGAAAACAGAAAACAAGAAGUGAAGGAGAAGAAUGUGCUUCUUCCAAAGGUCCUAGAAGAAGAGCUGGAGAAUUUCCGCAUUUUUAGGGCAUAAUCUUGGAUGAAACUUUCAAGUAGAAAGUAACUGGCCAGUUAACAAGAUAAUUGCCAAAUCUCCAACUUUUCUUAUGUGUGUGGGAAAUCAACUUUCUGAAGGGUAAAUGUCACUGUUACGAAGAAUCCUCGGCAGAAAGCCUUGUUAAAUCUGGCGUUUAAAAAAGGAACACUUCCAUUUUUCUUUUUAAAAAAACAUUUGCAGCUCCUCCUCCCCGCAACACACCCAUCCCGCCCCGCAAUGUGUUCAUACUCUGGUAAGACAGAGGGAGCCAUAGGGUUCACUCUUUGGUGCUGGGUUAGGUGUGAGCAAACAAUCCCUACAGUCAACAAACACAGUUCUAAAGGUGUACUGUUAGGGGAGAAGAAAUAACGGAGAACAAAUGUAAUAUGCCAUUAAACUACAUUUUAAAGCACUUGCAUAAAUCUGGAUAUUUAGUAUUUUUAAAGACUAAAUGUAAUUGGGUAAAUAGAU